rnacentral:rRNA from 1 species
AUUGAACGCUGGCGGCAGGCCUAACACAUGCAAGUCGAGCGGUAGCACAGAGAGCUUGCUCUCGGGUGACGAGCGGCGGACGGGUGAGUAAUGUCUGGGAAACUGCCUGAUGGAGGGGGAUAACUACUGGAAACGGUAGCUAAUACCGCAUAACGUCGCAAGACCAAAGUGGGGGACCUUCGGGCCUCAUGCCAUCAGAUGUGCCCAGAUGGGAUUAGCUAGUAGGUGGGGUAACGGCUCACCUAGGCGACGAUCCCUAGCUGGUCUGAGAGGAUGACCAGCCACACUGGAACUGAGACACGGUCCAGACUCCUACGGGAGGCAGCAGUGGGGAAUAUUGCACAAUGGGCGCAAGCCUGAUGCAGCCAUGCCGCGUGUGUGAAGAAGGCCUUCGGGUUGUAAAGCACUUUCAGCGGGGAGGAAGGCGAUAAGGUUAAUAACCUCAUCGAUUGACGUUACCCGCAGAAGAAGCACCGGCUAACUCCGUGCCAGCAGCCGCGGUAAUACGGAGGGUGCAAGCGUUAAUCGGAAUUACUGGGCGUAAAGCGCACGCAGGCGGUCUGUCAAGUCGGAUGUGAAAUCCCCGGGCUCAACCUGGGAACUGCAUUCGAAACUGGCAGGCUAGAGUCUUGUAGAGGGGGGUAGAAUUCCAGGUGUAGCGGUGAAAUGCGUAGAGAUCUGGAGGAAUACCGGUGGCGAAGGCGGCCCCCUGGACAAAGACUGACGCUCAGGUGCGAAAGCGUGGGGAGCAAACAGGAUUAGAUACCCUGGUAGUCCACGCCGUAAACGAUGUCGAUUUGGAGGUUGUGCCCUUGAGGCGUGGCUUCCGGAGCUAACGCGUUAAAUCGACCGCCUGGGGAGUACGGCCGCAAGGUUAAAACUCAAAUGAAUUGACGGGGGCCCGCACAAGCGGUGGAGCAUGUGGUUUAAUUCGAUGCAACGCGAAGAACCUUACCUGGUCUUGACAUCCACAGAACUUAGCAGAGAUGCUUUGGUGCCUUCGGGAACUGUGAGACAGGUGCUGCAUGGCUGUCGUCAGCUCGUGUUGUGAAAUGUUGGGUUAAGUCCCGCAACGAGCGCAACCCUUAUCCUUUGUUGCCAGCGGUUAGGCCGGGAACUCAAAGGAGACUGCCAGUGAUAAACUGGAGGAAGGUGGGGAUGACGUCAAGUCAUCAUGGCCCUUACGACCAGGGCUACACACGUGCUACAAUGGCAUAUACAAAGAGAAGCGACCUCGCGAGAGCAAGCGGACCUCAUAAAGUAUGUCGUAGUCCGGAUUGGAGUCUGCAACUCGACUCCAUGAAGUCGGAAUCGCUAGUAAUCGUAGAUCAGAAUGCUACGGUGAAUACGUUCCCGGGCCUUGUACACACCGCCCGUCACACCAUGGGAGUGGGUUGCAAAAGAAGUAGGUAGCUUAACCUUCGGGAGGGCGCUUACCACUUUGUGAUUCAUGACUGGGGUGA